GACGAACGCUGGCGGCGUGCCUAAUACAUGCAAGUAGAACGCAGUUGCGAACGGGUGAGUAACGCGUAGGUAACUGCCUCAUAGCGGGGGAUAACUAUUGGAAACGAUAGCUAAUACCGCAUACUGUGAGAUGGACCUGCGUUGUAUUAGCUGGUUGGUUAGGUAAAGGCUCACCAAGGCGACGAUACAUAGCCGAACUGAGAGGGGUGACGGGCCCACCGGGACUGAGACAACGCCCAGGCGCCUACCGGAAGGAGCAGUAGGGAAUUUUCGGCAAAUGACGGAAAGCGUAACGAGCAACGGCGCCGGAGGGAAGGAGGGUUUCGGAUCGGUAAGCUCUGGUGUUAGAGAAGCGGUAACUAACCAGAAAGGCACGGCUAACUACGUGCCAGCAGCCGCGGUAAUUC
rnacentral:rRNA from 1 species